GCUAGCCUUAUUUUACAUUUCUCACUCAUUUCACACUGCUGUUUAUAAAGGAAAAUAUGUCGCUUGUUUCUCCACCUUUGAGUGCAGAUGAGGACUCACUCGAGUUGCACAUGGUGCUGUUGGAAUUAGAGGCCAGCAUGGAGAAACAGAUCCGUGACCUACUCGACAAGCAGGCCCAGCUGCAUGAACGAAAAACCGCGCUAGAAACAUCUUGUGCUAUCACCCAAAAAUCCAAGGUAAGCAUGCAGCAUGGUACUAUCACUCCCAGCACCUCUACACUGUGUGUUUCUCUGUGCAGGGACUGUGCACCCAGGACGUAUCCAGCCCAGGUCUCCGUUACUCUGGCACAGACACACCACGGACCUUGGGUGCACCAGCAGCGGAAAGCAUGGGCCAGACCCCAGGCGAGGACCUCUCCCCCUCCACUGCCCCCAGUCUUCGAGAUCUCCACCAGGCACCGCUUCCCCGCUCUCCGUGAGACCAAAUAGAACACCAUGAUCAUCAGAGAUGCCAUUGUUCAUAACGUCUGCAUCGCCUCAACUAACGCCAGCGGAGAGCUGGACCCGGAAGACAGAGCAAGAGAUAGAGCAGCACUCGUCUCCGGCUACUUUUCCGGAUCCAUAAGAGAUCUCCUGGACCUGAGACGGCUAGCUGCUGGCAGUGGCUGGCCCAGAUCCACGAGGCUUUGAAACCCAUCUAGCUUCAGCUACCGAGAAGAGAGCAAGUUGUGAGCGGAGCUGCCUAAAGUAAGGAGUUACACUGCGCACAGUCAGACCUCUCAAGGGCUGCCGUCGCAUGCUCCAGCCCUAGACACUUCACACAAAACGUGUGCAAUCCUCCUGAUGAAACAGGAGCAAAGCGUAACACACUUCCUGAAUUCUCUCAUUCAUACUUUUCUCUCUCGCUCAUUCCCUUUUUUUCUUCUCUUUUUUUAAAGGGAUAGAAAAGUCCAGAGAUUUUGAGAAAGAUAGAGAUUAAAUGAAGCGUCUUCUUGUUUCUUUACACAAACAACCGACAUGCAGUCUUGCUGAAGAUAAUAAGGCUGACAGAGAGGUUCAGAGGUGCCAUAUAUGUAUACGUGAUGCGCUUAAUUGCCAUGUCAGCUGAUCACGGCAGGCCUAUAAAUAGGCAUGAUUUUACACAAGCUUCAGAUGCCAGUCGCGUGCAAGGGCGCUCCCCAUAGUGUUAUGCUAAAUGCAACGUGGAGUUCCC
ensembl:lncRNA